UCUCCGUAGGUGAACCUGCGGAGGGAUCAUUACCGAGUUCAUGCCCUACUGGGCAGAUCUUCCACCCUAUGUUAUUAUUACUUUGUGGCUUUUGCGGGCCGUUAGGCUCCGGCCCCACUACCGGCCCCGGCUGGUAGGCGCCCGCCGGAGGACCCAAAACCCUGAAUAUUAGUGUCGUCGGGGUGCUAUAUAAUAGUUAAAACUUUCAACAACGGAUCUCUUGGUUCUG
rnacentral:misc_RNA from 1 species